rnacentral:lncRNA from 1 species
CUUUAACCGUCUCAUUUGAAGCUGCCCAUCCCCACAUAGCUGAGCUCCCAGCAUGACUGGGGCAGUAAGACAACCCUGUUAGGACUAAAAAGCCAUUUCUGCAUCUCGAAGACACAGAUGCAACCCCAGUCUGGCAUUCAAGAGCGUAACUUUAUCAGUGGCACCUUAGAAUCGAGCCACUUUCUCCAGAGCCCUGACCUGUCACCACCAUGGGCCUUUCUGAGUCUGACCCGUGCUGCAGAGGAGAGAGUAAGCCUCGGCAAAGGAAAGUCACUUGCCCAAGGACACCAAGUCAUUUUGGUCAGGGCCAGGUCCACCGCCGAGAUCCUCGCUGCUCAUCAUGGUGUCUCAGGAGCAGCAACAUCAGCAUCACCCGGGAGCUGGCUCCUCUGGGCUGUGAUGCUUUCUCAGACUCUCCUGGUGUUGGAUGACCUUGCCAGUUUUGAGCGGUCAGGUAGAGCUUUAAUGAACUACUCUGAAAGACCCAAGCACUCAUAAGACAAAGCAACGGACAUGCAUUGAGUUCCCAGUCCUACCGUCUAACCGAGAUAUGACUAUGGAUCUGCUACUUGAUCUUUCUGAGCUCCAUCUGUAAAACACAGAGAAAAACAAUACCAGCAUCACACAACAGGAGUCACCCUGGAGACAAAUGAAAGGAAACUGAAUGUGGAAUGGGGGGAGAGAAGGAUUUCUGUGGAGGAUCUGGGUAACUUCGGGAUCGUUCCGAGAGAUGAUCAUUUCACAGCAGGCUUAGCAGACAGUCUUCGGAUGGAAGCUCUCAAGAGCAAGCCCAGAAAGUUUCUGGAGGGGUCAGUGAAAAAAUACCAUUUCUCAGUAUGGAUAUAAGUUAAAUAUACACAUUCGCUUAUAACAAUGCUUUCUAACAAAAAAUAAAAGAUGUUCAGUAAAGAAAAUUUUGAAAGUACAAGCAAAGCAGGAAGGGAGGAGAAAUUCCCUUUGGUCCUACCCCUUGCUAUUUUCCCUUGCCCAGUAAACAGGUCCUCUUGGAAGCAGAGUCGUGGGUAACAUCUGAUUCACUGCAUUCCACUUCUCUUUUCACAUAGUCAAAGCUAUGAUCUGGAGGGAAAUGGAAGUAUCUACUUAACGUCUGCAAUGUGCCAGGUAAACGCUCCUGCUUUGCUGUCAUUGCCGCAUUUAAUUCUUACAGCAGUACUGUCAGGUCAGCAUCAUUAUCCUUGUUUCAGGGAGGAGGAAACUGAAGCUCAGAGAGGUGCAGAAACUUACCCAAGUCACAUAGCUUCCAAGUGGUGGAGACUGGAUUCCCACUUGGCUCUAGCAGAGUCCUAAGUCCCUAUUACGUCCAGGUACUUUGAGGGAGUAGCAUGGAAUAAGAUUAAGACUUGGCCCUUCCUCUCCAAUUGCUCACAGUCAAACAAGGAUGAUCAGGAAUGCAUGGCAUUGACCAGAAG